CGCGUAGGCGGUAUGUCGCGUCAGGUGUGAAAGCCCCGGGCUCAACCUGGGAUGUGCACUUGAUACGGGCAUGCUUGAGUUCGAGAGAGGUGAGUGGAAUUCCCAGUGUAGAGGUGAAAUUCGUAGAUAUUGGGAAGAACACCAGCGGCGAAGGCGGCUCACUGGCUCGAAACUGACGCUGAGGCGCGAAAGCGUGGGGAGCAAACA
rnacentral:rRNA from 1 species